GUUCGUCUUGGCUACAUAUUAUCACAAUUUGGUAGUCUGGAUUCAACAUAUGAGUGGUCCAGUGUUCUUUCCCUUGGAGAGCAGCAACGCCUUGCUUUUGCGCGACUAUUGCUUUCAAAACCAAAGCUGGUUCUAUUAGAUGAAUCUACCAGUGCUUUAGAUGAAGUCAAUGAGGCACAUCUGUACCGGCAAAUUGAAGCAGCAGGCAUAACCUAUGUUAGCGUUGGCCACAGACGUACCUCAUUGACUUCAU
rnacentral:misc_RNA from 1 species